CUGCCCCGGUGUCCGUCCCCACGGAGCUCUGCACAGAGCGGCGUCCCCGCAGGUGCCGGUAGCCCGCGGGCCUGGGCGCGGGAGCGGGCAGAAGGUGUUUCCUGAGCGGCGGGCGUGAGCUGUGCCUGGCAGGGGCUGCUGGACCGCAGCCCGGGACCUGCCGCGGCACGACGGGCACACGGGAUCCGCGACUCCUUUUGUUUCCAUUACAGCUCUUUUGAAGUUGUUACUCUUUUAGAAAGCACCUUAGUCUGUCUUUUCUUCAAACAGAGCUUUGCCCAGGGCUAUGCAAGGCCCUGAUACUGGUUUUGAGGCACUCCCUUUAGGAUCUCAAAGCUCAGGAGGAUGAGGGGCCUGGUCCAGUGGUGUUUUUCAGCUGGGAUUGGGUGUCUGCACCGGUCGCAGCCCACUGCUCAUGCUGGGCUGGAACAGUUUCCCUGACGUGUGCAGAGAACGAGCUUUGGGAAGAGCGAUUGCAGCCGCGCGGCUGCGCCCCUGCACGUGGGGGCUCAGCACCACCGGCCCAAGCCCCUGGUGCUCCGGGCAGCGUGCGGCUGAGUGACACGGCAGCCUGUGCCGGACGGGUGCGAGCAGAGCUGGUCUCAGCAGCCCCCAUCCGCUCCUGCGGCAAAGGGCGACAUCACUUUCUUGUUCCUCCAUAGACUCUUUAAAGUUGUCGCUUUUUGAAUUAUUCCCACAAGGCUAAGCCGACACCUCCUUUUCUGAUGCUUUCUGAGCAGCACUAUGAUCUUAGCAUCCUUUCUUCUGUCAGCUGAUGGAGCAAACCUUGCCUACAUUGUGCUUCCAUAUAAAAAAUAGGGAGUCUUAUGAUUUUGAGACUGAUGUAGAGGACUCAAGAGAAGGGUGGACAGAAGACAGGAUGCCCAUUCAUGAGAAGAAAUAGAGAAAAAAGAUGGGACGUUGCUCAAAACAGCCUUCAGGGCAGUGGCGAAACACUGGAAAACAUGUGAACGACAGGGAAAACGUCUGUGGGAUUCAUCUGUUUGUUUUAACUUCCCCAGGGUAGUUUCUUUCCCAUCACGGGCUUUUGUGUAUAUUUAGGUGCAAUAUUGUUACAAACAAAACAUAAGCUGGAGAGGAGAAACAUUAUGUCGGAGGAUGGAAACUGACACUGUCAACACUUGGUUCAGCUCCCCUGGAAAUCCGUCACCCAGCUGGUGCUUUUUGGAUGUGACCAGUCUGAAGGUGGGUGUACCGCUGGGACGUGGCCGCUUGCUGCUCUGGCUGACCACUGCAAUUCGUCCGUCAAGACCUAUUUUUAGUCAUGUGAAUAACGAAGAAUUUUUGGAGUGGAUCCUGAAACGCCCUGAGACCCACCAGGAAUGCGAGUGGCGCUUGGUGGAGCUCACCCGCAAGUGCUUUGUUUGUUCAUUUGCACAGAGCCUUUUUAUCCCGGUGUCGUGGUGACUCACAUUUCCUCUGCCCACGGCUUCCUCGUGAACAAUGCUGCAGCAAUGAGGUCCUCUGCUGCCAACUUAGCACUCAGCACAGGCCCGGGAAGCUCAGCCUUUCUGUGGAUCGUGCUCCGGGGCUGCGAGCACGCGGGCCUGUGCCAAGGCGGCUCUGCCAGGCUGGCUGCUGGGAUCUGUCACUGAGUGGCUGGGACACAAUUGCUCCGUUUCCUCUGCCCAUCUGCGCUAUCGCUUCUGGGAACCCGGGACAGGCGCAGUGAUCCAGCUGGGCUGCAUUAGGAACUCCAGAUGCUACAAGAAAACUUUGUCAACAUGGUUCUUUAUUAGGAGUGCUCUGGUAAGUGUACAGCAGUGUUACUGGGAACACACUGAAACUCGUUGUUCUGUUUAAUGAUGAUGGCUGUUGCGUUUCUUGAUGGCUCUGAUUCAAAACCAGUUAUUCAUUAUAGUAUCUCAACUCUGUGUUCCACGGAAGCUCUCCUAUAGAUGAGACCUGCUAAAUUUUCGUGUUUCUUUAACAUGAAACUUCCGUUGAGAAAUAAGGUGCUAAGCGAGCUUUGGAUCCACAAGGACAGACCUGCCAAAGUUCCUUCCAAGUUACUGCAGGUUGGUCAGUAACGUUUUAAUUGGCAGUGAUUAGAGCAAUUGGUUUUUCUCACCUGCAAAGUCUGUUCCAUACCCCAUUGACAUAUUCUGGAAUAAAGCAAAUAUAGAUGUAAAAGAAAAACCCCUGCAUUUUAGCAAACAGACAAAGGUGUCAGCUGAAGCAGUGAAGUGCAGCUGUAGAAGAAAAAUAAAUGGGCAAUGUUGGUAAUGCUAAUCUCAUGAAGAAUUACAAGACCUCCAUUAAUGCCAGGACCUCGGUGGGACACAUUCCAGCUGAAAAAUAGACUGGGCUCUUCCAGGCCUUUGGGUGUUCAGCGGGGGAUCUGAGACACGUGCUACUCAUUUUGUUGUGAAAAAUAUUGGGGACACUUUCCUCAUCAGUCUCUGUGCAAAUAAUGGCCUUGUGACAGCCAACACCUUUGUUAUCAACGGGAGCAAUUCCUGAAUCCGAGCCAGCGGACAAAAAUUCAAAAAAUGGACAAAGUCCACAGUAGAAGUUGCUAUUAGUUUUACCAGCUUAAUAAUUAGCUAAUUAGCUAAUAAUUACUCCACUGGCAAACGUCUCUCCUGUACUGGAUUGUUUAAGGACGGCGAUGACCCUAACCUAGUCUAAAGGCGGGUUACCGGUUUCCAGCGGCGCGUUCGGGAGGCGGGAGCCCUGGGGCGGCCCUGGCCGCGCUGUCACCCGCCCCUCUCCCUGCACGCCGCGCUCUUCCCACACCUCCGCCGUUUUCCAAACAAAGGCAUUUGGUUUCGAUGAGAGAGAACCACAAUGCUUUGCGCUUUAAUGGGACUGUGGAGUGAACCCAAUUAACUGGUGCAGUCCUAAUAGCUCAGGACGGGACUAAUUGUCCCCAGCCUGUGGCCCUGGCCGUGCAGCAGCAGCAGCGCGUGGGGACACCAGCUCCGCUGACCCCGUGCGGGGGCACUGGGGACACGUCCCAGAGCAAAGACACCGCCUGGUGUGCCAGGAGCUCCGGGCAGAGCCGCCUGCAGCCGGGGUUUGACAGUGAGCUCAGACCCUUGAGUCAGGUCACAAAGGGAAGAAAAUGAACAGUUUUGUUGCUUUUAACUUUCACUAGAGGAGGAAAAAUUCAUGUGCAGUAAUGCUGGGUUUAGACCUCGGAUUUUUUUUUUUUCAAGUAUUAUAUAGAAAAUAAAUAAGGCUUUUUUCUGCGGCAUUAUGUGGUAUGGCACGGACUGUCUGCACAUUAAAAAGACAGUUCCAUAUUAAAAUAAGUUAUUUAGCAGCAAACUUGCUUUACCUGUGUUACUCAGAAUGGUGGGUGUUUCUGUUGUGCUGCAUAACAACAUCAUUCUUCACUGAGCGAUUGUAAGACCAUAUCUUUUAUUUCCAAGCAAGAAAACCCCCUGUUUUCAUGGAACCUGUUUCACAGAGGUCUCGCUGGGGUUCCACAUCACAUCACGCUUCAGAACACUCCUAAACCCCGUUGGAUGCUGUAGAGCACUGAGCCACAACCCGGGCACGCAGGCCGGUGGCCAGGCUGGCCGGCGUUACCACUCGUGCGAAACAGAGACGUUCGCCGCGUCCCUGCCGGCGGGUCUGCUCCUGCCCCCGCCAGCCCCGGGACCCCGGCAGGACCACGGUGUGGAGGAUCAGAGUGAGAUGGCAGUGAGAUGUGCCCACGCUCCCGUCCGGACCGAGGAGCGCUGCCGAGAGCCGCCGUUUACUGCGUGAGCUGCAGGGAGACACGUGGGAGCAAGGGGCACUUACAGCCAGCACGAGUCCACGGGUGACUCCUCGUCUGGGUAAGCACAGCUCUCUGGUUACAAAGGGCUUUUCACGCUGCAAGGUGUCAGAACACAUGCAGACACACGUCUUGGUCGCGGUCCUGAGCCUGUCAGGAGCAGCAGUCUGCGCUUGCUUGUUGAUCCUCUGGUAGGAGGGCACAUCUCCCUUUCAAAACUGAAAAAAGUGACAGAGAACCAAUGGGAGAGAGAGUGGGUUCUAAACAAACCAACCAACCAACCAACCAAGAGAUAAACCAGACAUUUUAUUGAGCUGUUGUCAGCCCCCAGAAGACAUCAGUGAAUCAAAUCUCCUUGUAUUACCACCAUAGGGAAAUUUUAACAGAGCCCAUAUUAAAGCAAGGGUAUCCAGCGGAAGGUUGCAUAUAACGAUGGCGAGCUUCCGAACUUUGCCAGACUUUUACAAAUCCGGGAAGUUCUGGCAAUCACCUCGAGGAAAUGACAAUUUGUUAAGGCAGCCGAACACCAGCAGACUGGAGAUGCGUCUGUGGCUUUGUCCCCGCUGCCCCUGCAGCCACGCAGAGCCCGCGGGAGCCCCGGCUCGCGCCCUGCUGCAAUGACGAGUAGCAAGAACAGGCUCCGGCUUAUUUGCUCCAGAGCAAUGAGUUCCAGCAGCUCUCUGGGAGUGCGUUGGGAUACACAUGCAAACUGCAUUAUUUAAUUUCAUUGAUUUUUUUCCAGUAUAAAAAGAACAUUUGAAUGAGAAGAUGUUUCAUUGAAUUACUCACCUUAACAAGGUUGUAUCUGGGUUUGUGGUUUGUGUUGUUUUAACAAGAGACCUCUUGUUUACAGAAACCCUCCAGAUAGUUGCGUUAUGGAAAUGCCAUUUGCGGCAGCAUGAAUUCCAGGUUUUUCCAGACAGUAAAAAACCCCAACUCAGUGGUAAUCUCAGGUUUACGCUGUUAUUUCCUUGUAACGCAAGCUGAAAGGCUGGGAUGGCUGCCUCCACCGUGCUGGCUCCAUUCACAUCUCCGCUUAUGCUUCUUUAUUAGUGCAAACAAAACAAAGGUUCCUAUGAUAAGGCCCACGGGAGAAAGCCUGUUAAACGCAUUUCUGGCAGGCGAAUCAGAGACGACAUCUGAGUCUUGGGUGCUUGCUCUCUGACGAGAUUUUUCUAAUUCAGCUUCCUCCCGGAGCGCAUCCUCGCGCAGAGGAACCUGUGCGGAGGAACCCACGCGGAGGAACCCGUGUGGACCCUCGUGCGGAGGAACCCGUGUGGACCCUCGUGCGAGGAACUCGUGUGGACCCUCGUGCGGAGGAACCCGUGUGGACCCUCGUGCGAGGAACCCGUGCGGCCGCGCGCGGGGAGCAGCACCAGCGCUGGCCCAGGGAGCGCUCACCGGAGCACCGGCUCCUGUUCUGCAUAGGAAGGAUGAAUCUCAUUUUCCUUUCAGUGUCUUUCGAGGCUGAAGCCUUUGCAAUCACAGAGGCUGAGCCAGUACCAAAUGGACAGGAAUAAGGAAACAGGUGCCCACGUCUGAGGCAAUUGCUGAGCCAUGUUAUCAGAUGCUCAGUUCUGUUGAGCAUGGGAGAGUGAAAAGGUUUGCAAAUGAACUCUUUUAUCCACUGCCAGCUUUUCCUGCCUCCCACCUUUUGGUUUUAAAAAUUGCGGAUCUGUUCCUACCAGAGUUACAACGCAGGUCCCACCUCGUGCAAACUGAGCCCUGGUCAGCAGCUGCCGAGCAGUCGCUGCUGCCCAGCAGGUCAGCUCCAGGACAGACAGACGGACAUGCCACCAAGGACACAGUUCUUGACGGCUGAUAAGAAACAACAUAUUAUUGAAACUGAAAACAAUUUAGACUUUAAAGAAAUGUCAAUUAACAAUUUUGAAACAUGCCAAUAUAGAGUUUUGCUAGGAAAUGACAUGAGACAUUGUGGAGGGAAAGCCCGGAGCUGGUGACAAGGACCCGCACACACCAGCAGCACAGGUACCCGCGGGCCAGCACCCCCAUGUCCCCGGGCACGGCGGGGACUCGCUGGGCGGCAGCGCGGCCGGGCAGAGCUGCGGCAUCUCUAAUGGCAGAGCGAGCGGCUGAGAUGAGCUGGGUACCAGUGUAAGGAUGCUAUUCAUGUUAUUCAUCUUGAACAAAUUACAAAUAAAUAAAAAGGAGUCAAUACAGUGUUCCUAUAUGCAUAAACAGCCAUCUGCUUUAAAACGGUGUGCACCAGUUGGCCUGUGCAUAAUCCAUGUAGGUUCCCUUAUUUGCUUAGGCUGUGAAAAAUUCUGUGCACCGCUACAGAAUUCUCUUAGUAUUUGCUGAUUGUUCAAUGACAGAUUCACUCAACAGCCCUCACUGGAGCCGACACGUGGGCAGGUCCAUCCCUGCAGAGUUCUGAAAGCCUGACUGGACGCGGUCCUGAUCAAGCCCGUCCGUCACGGGCAGCCCUCGCUUUGGGCAGGAGGUUGGCCUGGCUGGCGCCCAGCUCGGUUUUCCCGCAGCAGGGCGCUGCGCCGCCGCCGGGCGGAGGGCUCAGCUUUCCGCCACGAUGGGCUGAACGCUGGAGAUGUCUGUCCUUGCAGAGUUCCUCUGGGAGGAUGCUCUUGCCCUGCGGCAGGCGCCCUCGGCCCAGGCGUGGCGGGACGGGGGCGACAGGGGCCGCAGGGCGUGGCCCGGGGCCGCGCGGCGCCGCCGGCACGCGCACAGCAGCGACGUGAGCUCCGCCCUGAAGCUCUCGUUCAGCCAGCAGUAGAUGAACGGGUUGUAGCAGGUGCUGCUCAUGGCGAACCAGUGGAAGGCGAAGUAGAGAGCGUUGCUGCUGUGGAUGGCCCUGCAGGAGAUGAGCACCACGUAGCAGUUGAGGGGGAACCAGCACACUGCAAACACCACCACCACCACCAUCAGCAUCUUCAGCGUCAUCUUCUUCUUCCGUUGAUGGGCGUAGUAUUGCUCCAUGGUGAGGUCCCCGAUGGCGUUCCUCAGCCAGAGCUUCUUGGCCACGAUGGUGUAUGUGAUGGAGAUGACAAGCAAGGGCAGGACGUACAAGAGGACAAAAGUAGUCAAAUCCAAAUACUUCCAGAAAAGAUCGGCAGGAGGAGGGAAGCUGGGGAGGCAGACCAUCCGUAUCGUCCUGUUCCUGAGGAUCAAAGAGAGAAAGAACUGCCAGCUCCGCCACCAGAUGCACGCAGCACCUAGAGGACAACAUCGCAGGCGCUCUUACAAGCUCCAGCAGAGACACAGACAGCAGAAGCCGUUCAGCAGCAUGGGGAAGUGCCACAUGCAAUGGAAUAUUUUGCUUCAGGUUUAACCUUUGGCCACCAUGAAGAUAUUUUCAAUACACCCCCAGGAACAGAAAAAGAAAAUCCACAGUGACCUGUCUCUGAUGAGGAAAAGCACCUCUCUUCUGUACCUACCUCAGAUUCCAGGGCUGAUCUCUGAGCCAGAAUCAACUAACAAACAAGCCUGAAAGCAAUUCCGCUGAUCUUCAUUGUCCCCUCAUGAGAAACACAUCACCUACGCACGAGAAGGAAGACUUCUCUGUUACACCACACUUCCUUUUUUAAUAACACAGAUGGAAAGACGUGUUGGAAAGCACACUGCCUUUGAACCUGUGGGGCUUUGGUUAGGCCGCAUAUGUCGUAUGUAAAACCAAACCAACCAAACAAAACCCGCCAUGCCAACGUCUUACCCGACAUAAAAUCUUGUCAGAGUCUGGUAAAUGGCGUGAGGCAGGGAGAAGCAGCUGGCCAGCACCCAGAUGAUGAUGAUGCAGAUCCCUCCUUUCACCAUGGACAUGCGCGGCUUCAGAGGGUGCAUGAUAACCUGCAGAGAACAACGCGUCCUGCGGUUCACAACGCGCUCGGUGUCACCCGCCAGCUCGCUGGGGCUGGCUGUCUGCUGAGCCACCCGCACUACGGGUGAUUACAUCAACCAAUGAAACAGUAAUUAAAAACAGACCUAUCAUGUCAUCCAAAUGAUCCCUUGGCUGAUGAAGCCUUCGGUAUUUUAUGCACAUCUUUUGUAGUCUCAUCAUAAAUAUCUACUUAACAGAGCUUCUGGAGCUCUCCUGGAGCACCGUCUGUCCUGGCGCCUCCCGGGACCAGCGGCACUUUUAAAGACAAGGGUUGAUUUCUCGUUGUGCAGCGACACCUCCUUACUCUGUUUGUACCUCCCUGGGCUGUCCCAGCUAACGCCAGUUCUGAGGAACCUAUUCCACGCCAUUUAAAGGCAGGAGUCGUGUUUGCUCUGAAUUAAACAAACACUUCCUGAUACCUAGCCAUGCCUUGAAAUUAACCCAGAAUCUGCUGAUUUAAAUUCAUUCUUAUCAAAAUGCUUUGCUCUCAUAAAUCGCUAUGCUUCACAUAGAAUGGGCAGACUAGCAACCUUUUUGUGGGAAAAAAACGAAAACAAAACGAAACUAAAACAACAACUCCAACAAAAACCCAACAGAAAUGUGUGAUCUAUACUCUGGCAGUCACUGCGGUUUUCUGACACCAGAUGGAGCACAUCCCAGAUGAUCAGACUGGAUUCCACUGUUGUUCUGAACUUCAUCUACCACGUCUUUUAUCAUGUAAAUUGCUUUCCAGUAAGGAGCAUUUAUGUGACUGCAGCACUGCAGGAGAAGCGCGCGGUCUGCCUGCGAGCACACGGUGCGGAGCUGCUGCCGGCACGCGGGUCUGUCGGCUCCAGCAAAAACCACACGCUGAAUUAUACCUCAGUUAAACACUUUGGUUCGCACUCAUUGCUUGACCUGUAAAGUUUUCCUGGUUGCUAUUUGCCAAAAAAAGUGUUGGCAAAAAAGACAACAACCUAUGUAGGUAGCUCGUUAUUCUCCAGCAAGCGCGGGGCGGUGUCGGCGGCGUACCUGGUGCCGAUCCAGAGCGAUGGCGGCGAGGGUCAGCACCGACACGUGGACGGAGCAGUACUGGACAAACCGGCUUACGUGACACAUCAGCUUUCCAAAAACCCAGGUGCUGCUUACAAACCGCACCUGAAGAACAGACAGAACAGCAUUAAAACCGCGGGCGUUAUCCGAAGGGGAGCAAACAGGGCUUCCCAGGAGCAUGGUAAAGAAAUGCUUUAAUAUCGUUUCCUUAUGCUUUGUAGGCGCAUUAUACUCAGUUUUUCUAGGGAAGUAGUGACUACACAAGAGGCUCUGAAACAGAGGUGAAAUUUACUAAACUGGGCAAACAAAUCCACUUGAGUGGUGCUCUGUGUGUGUGUUUGAGUGGACAUGGGUACACGUAAGACGGAAAAUGUAAAUAAAUCUUAGCUCAGUUUCUUGAUGAGGCUCUGCAGGGAAAAACAGCGGUUUGCCUCCUUAGAAACAGUGGCACGUUGGAAUUUGUGGAUGCUGAAAGCUGCGUGGGUUCAAAACUUAGUGAGACAAAGCAGUGGAAGAAGAAAUCAUUGAGGACACUGAGAUAGUGAGGUGACACCUCUGAGCACGGGGCUGCCUGUCCAUGGAGCACCCCCGCCAAGCACCCCCACUGAUCACCCCCGCCGAGCAUCCCUGCGAGCACCCCCGCCAAGCACCCCCACUGAUCACCCCCGCCGAGCAUCCCUGCGAGCACCCCCGCCGAGCACCCCCGCUGAUCACCCCCACUGAUCACCCCCGCCAAGCACCCCCGCCAAGCACCCCCGCCGAGCUGCCGUGCCCGUGCCCCCCGGCUCCGCAGCCACCGGCCGUGCUCGGGAAAGGGCACAGGGCUGGUGGCAGUGUCGCACAUGGAUCUUCUCAUGUCACAUCAGGUGAGACACACCAGCAGCAAUUCCAGAGGUGACAAUUCAGCUACACAGCCAGAGAGGAUCAUUUUCCCCUCCCGCUGACAAAGCGACUCGCGCACACGAGCUGGGCUGUCCCCUCUCCAUCCGAGCUCCACAGGGACCGGAGCUGCUGCCCCUGACACCAGCGGCUCCGGGGGGGCAGGACCACGGUGCCCCCAACCUGGCUUUUCACGUGGGUUCCCCCAGAGCUGCUGCUGACGCGGCGUUUCUGCAGAGGAGAUUAUUCCACAUAACAGUUGUUCUCUCAGUCCCUUCUUAUUCCUGACUGUGCAAUGUUUAUUUCAAAUUAAUGUAACUCAUUCUGGAAGCAGAUUAAGUUAAUUUGAAAUAAAGCACAUUUACUACAAAACAUCUGUACACACAGAAAAUGAGUCAAGACUACCUAAUUUGUUUUCAGUUUAUCUAAUUAAUUUCCCUAUAGAGACAAGUCGAGUAGUAAUGACUCUGUCAAUGAACUGUAGCAAUGUGCUGUUCCUUUGAAGUCCAUGACAAGCUCUUUCCUGAGAGGGACACAGUUAUUUAAUCAGCAGCGCCUAAGGAGCGACUGGUCGUGCAGACACACAAGAGGGCACUCUCCUCGCCUUGGACACAGCAAGGCAGAGAAAUCCCACCAAGAAACUGGUAAUUCAGGAACAGCUUUCGGAAGGCAGAGGACAGUGCGGAGGGUGCCCGACUGCAGCUCGGCCGGGAGGCCCAGGGACAGGGGGAGAGCCGAAAAGAAACUGCACGUCAGCCUGUUCCCGGCCCGUUCCACACAGACGUACACGGCUCUGACAGACACACAGACAGCAGCGACACACGGACACAGCGACACGGCUGCGGCGGGGGCUCACCAGCGUGAAGGGGGUGUUCAGGAUCGUGAUCAUCACAUCAGCCACGGCCAGGUUGACGAUGAAGAGGCUGGUGGCCGAGUGCAUCCUCUUGUUCUUGAUCACCACGUGGCACACCAGCGUGUUGCCGAAGAGCGAGAUGCAGAUGAUGAUGGAAUAGGCCACGAUCAGCAGCGCCUGCACUGUCCGGCUCUGCGACUCGCCCUCGUACCUGGUCCCGCUGCCAAAGUCCCCCAGGUCCUCCAGGUCCAAGUCGCUGUGCAAGAAGGACUGGUUAGGGAAACUGUACAGAGCAGAGAAGAAGUUGGUGGUGUUGUGGUUCUCCGGUCUCCAGAAGGGCUUGGAGAUGUAGUGCAGAGGGAACCAGGCGUGCCGGCCCAUGGCUCGGCAGGCUGCGUCCCCCGCUCCUCCCGGCAGCUCAGGUGCUGAACGCGGUGCUCGCAGUGCGGAAUACACACGCUUGCAUUUUACAAACCUGCCCCGCGGCUGCAAACUACAGGAGAGAGCUGACGAACGGGACCCCUUCCUGUGCUGAUCCCACGCGCGCUUUGCUCCAGGGGCGCCCCAGCUGCUGCUCUUUCAGCCCCACGUGUCCCACGUACAGAAGGUGAUUCAGAUGCUGAAAUGUCAGAGAUUCCCAAACACUUUCUCUCUGCACCUAGGAAGAAACCCUAGAGAAUAUUUCCCUUCAGGCACUGUUCUGCUUCUCUCCCACAACUUCUCCUUGGAAAUCUGUUUCAUCGGUUUUCCAUAUAAUCCUUCAUCCGUCAAGUGUCUGUUUCCCAAGAAUUUUCAGAGCUUGUCACAAUCAGAAAAGCCAGGGCUGCCUUUCCCUUCUGUUUCCAUCCUCAAAGUGUCUGUGAGCUAUGGACUGAAGCAGCUUUGCUGGGAGGCUGAGCAGUCCCUGCUUUCCCUGUGAUAUAUGCAGCCUGCCAGAUGACACACCGCAUAGGAAAUAGCCAAUAGUGUAUCUCUUCCCGGUUUAUCCUGAGGUGCAUUGCAACCCCGCACAGACGAUGUGUCUGACACGUGCAGAUCUAGCAGAGUGGCAAAAUACAGAGAGUGAUGUGCCUGAUCGUCUCCGUCUCCUCUCCCCUCCUGGUCCCCAGCACAACAGCCACGGGGGUGAAGCAUCUUUCCUGAUUUGAAGCAUCCUCCUUUUUCUCCCUUCCAGAGUUUCAGCAGACAGAGAACAUCCAAGAAUUUCUGCCUCCAGAGAGCUUUGUGUCCGACACCAUCCCCUCCUCGCUCUCCAGAGUAAAAAGUGAAACACAACCUGAAAAUGAGAGCAGAAGUUUCAGGGUGCUGCUGGGUGCCAGGGACACCCACGCUACAGCUCAGCCCUGUGUGCUCUGAGCUGGGGGAAGAGCAGGAGCGGGGAGCAGCAACACGGUGGAAAUCUCCUCUCUGCUCUGCUCUGCUCCGCUCUCCUCGGCGGAGCAGCCUCAGGCGCAGGAGCUCAGGGCAGGAGCGCUCCCGCGCUGCUGCGCGCAGUGAGCCCCGCGCCCAGGUGGCUUCUGUCCGCAGAGAUGUCAGCAGGCCCUGCGCCCUCCUCAGCACCCCAGACCCCGCGCAGGGCUGAGCCAGGCACAGGCCAGCGAGCAGACACGUUGUCUUUUGCUUCCUGGUUUCUGUUGUGUGAGGAUACUCUGGACUUUAUGCGGAGGACAGUAGGUCACAAAUGCAUCACGUUCGACCACAAAGGUGGCAGUUGUGGCACACACGAGAACAGCAGCAGAGCUCCUGCUGCCAAAGGAGAACCAGCAGCAUUUCCCUGCGCGCCUUCAGGAGACGCCAGCUGUCACAAACCACAGCUGAUGGCUCGGCAGGGACCACAUGUCUGCGUGUGGAUACACGGGGGAGCCAGGGCAGGGGCUGCCAGACACGCCGGUGGCACCGCCAGCUCCUCACCGUGCGCUCCACGAGCUCCCGCCCGCGUUCCUCCUCAUUUCUCCAUCGUGUGUUAGAAGGACGACCUGGCAGAGCAGCGUUUGGAUGCAGAAACCCGUCUGCUGUGCCAUGCCCUGUGUGCCAAAGCUGCUACAGGUUUCCCUGCAGAACCGAUUUGUUCUGUCCAAGGGUCAAACGCUCCAGCAAUCACCUGCUGGUUUGCUGCAGUUGUUAUCCACCCACAAACAUUGUGAGCUGCCCCCGGCGCUCGCCACGCACCAGAACGUCUGUGCUGGCUCCUCUCAGUCAAACCCAGGCUGCAAGGGAGAAAUGGACUUUUUGCAAACAUACCCAUUUGAAUUGCGCAGGUCAAACUUGGUUUUAAUAGAAAAUUUGUGGCUCUCUCACUUUGACACUACUUGAGUAAAAAAUUUUUGGAACUUCA